AUUAGAUUUAAAAUUAGAAAUAGCAAUUAGAAAAGAGAAUGAGAAAAAAAAUAGAGCAUGGAACAAGGAUGAGGAAGAGUCAGAUUGUCAUUUUUAAGUUGAGUGCUCAUCAGAAUGAGACUUAUUCAUGUUCAUUUGACUUUCAUAGAGCAACUCUAUGUCAUUAUAUUCAUUGUCUAUAUUAGAAAAUAGACUCUCACAGAUUUCUUUUGUUUUUCUUCUUUCUUUUUCUCUUCUCCAUUUCCCCCUUUAUUUUCUUCCUCCUCCCCCCCUUUUUUUGUCUCUCCUUUCCAUCUUCCAUUUUCUUGAAACAAAAAAAUUAGAAGCCAUGGUGCUUGCCCCCAAGAAACUUGUAAUCUAGUCAAGGAAUAAAGAUAGCCUCAGUAAAACAAUUUGAGAGCAAUAUGUCAGUAAUGAUGUGAAUAAGCUAUGUUCUUUAAAAUAACUGAUAUAUGAAUGAUCAAAAUGAGUGGGUUUAGGCAACAUCUGGUGGAGGAGGCAAGUUCCUUUUGAUCUAGGUUGAAGGAAUUAAUGGUAGAAAGAAAGGCAAACAUCAGAGGAGUUAUAUGGGCAAGAACUUGGAAAAUUUAGAAGGUAUGUUUAAGGAUUUGUAAAGAGAUUGUCUUGGGUGGAUUGCACAGAUUUAGUUGGAUGAAUGAUCUUGGAGGAAUAAUGGAACAGGAGAGUAUGAGUUAAGUGUAAAUUAAGGUUGUAGAAUGCUAGUCUGAGAAGGUUGGAAUUUUUUCAAUACUUUAUGGAAAGAGCUGAGAAAAUAGAAUGUGGAACUCUCUGAAUCUUAGUUAAGCCACUGAACCAUGUUGAGUAAGGAAAUGACCUCCUCAACCUUACUAAAAAUUAGAAAGUACUUACUGUUUCCAGACUUCUGAUUUAUUAUAUAGAUUAGAAAAUAGGAAAUAUAUAUAUAUAGAGAGAAAGAGAGAAUAUAGUUAUAUAUAUUUUUAUGUAAUUCAGCAAAUUUAUUUUGCAUAAAACAAUUUUCAAAGAAGACAUUUAAAAACCAUCUAGAUACUGAUUUUAUUGCAUUAUGAAAACCUGAGGGACACAAUUGAAGUAUUCAAAUAAAUUGUGAGGGGUGGUGAUAGGGCUUAAGAUCGCUGUCCAUAGUGUUCCUUAGUCACUUAAAGACUCUGGUUAUAAAAGUUUUGACCGUGAAGUCAAAACUCAUGACCAUGAAGUCAUGAAAUGCACUUCAUUUAGUAGAAAUAAGUCACAUAAAAUAUAUACUUUUAUAUAGAAAGUGUUAUUAUCAUUUUCAAUUACUUAUAAAAACUUCGUUUUUUUUUAAAGUAGCUUCAGGCCUAGCAUGGAGCCCAACGUGGGGUUUGAACUCACGAUCCUGAGAUCAAGACCUGAUCUGAGAUCAAGAGUGGACGCUUAGCCAAUUGAACCACCCAGGUGCCCCAUAACUUCAUUUUGAAUUGCAUAAAAGUUGUUUAAAAUUGAUAACUCCCAGAAGACAGGGCUUAGAAAUAAGGAUCUGUCUAAAUAAUUUAUUACAAAUAAUUAGGUUUCCAUUUCUCCACAGAUAAAAAAAAUCUAGAUAUAGUUUUCUUAAUGUGCAUAAUACACUAUAUAAUAUAUGAAAUAAUAUAUGAAAUAAUAAUGUAAUAUAUGAAAUAUAGUUUAUUUCAUAAUAUAUAUGGAUAUAGUUUUCUCUGGGGACAUCAGGUUCCAUUUUCUCUCCCGCUUAUUUACAGUCUCACUCUGUUGCUUAUUGACUUUCUCUCUUCGGUAAUGUUCUUCUUAGUUUGAUGUUUCUUUUAUAUUCAAUUGACUAUACUAGCUAUCUUUGAAGUUAAGGAAAAAGCUCAAGAUUGAUAUAUAUAUUUUUCAAAAAACUGAAACAGAAUCUAGAAUAGUGUGCCCUUGACCUCUACCUAAAUGUCCCUUUUAGCAAUGUAGUAAUAGACUUCUUUGUACUUCGACUCCUACUUAUUUUAGUCUUUAUAUUUCUGCCCAUUCAUUUCAUGCAGUUUCUGGGUUGACUUUUCAAUGGACAAUCUGAACAGUUUACCACAUAUCCCAUCAUUGAGCACUUUUCCAGUGCAACUUCCCAAGAGGGGAAUUCUUUCUUCUUGGCUACCUGAUCCAGGCUUAUUUCUCUCUAGAUACAUCUUAAAAUAGUUUAUUUGUGGGUAUUUUAAAUUUUUAUUUCUUUCUGUUUUCAGGACUAUAUCUGUUAUAGGUGUGUUAUUCAUUGCCGUGGUGCUUGUGACAAUGACAGAAAGAACCCAUGGAUGAAUACCAUCUGGUCCUGGUGAUUUACUGCACAGAGUCCCUCAAGUUGCUCCAUAUCUUCUCCUCAGAGACUGAAGAAUCUCUGUCAGGGCCAUUCUCUGCUUUGCCAUAAAAUGUGUCCUUGGAACAGGAAUUUCCCCAUUGUCUUCUCCAAUAAAUACUGAUUCAAGGUAUUCA